rnacentral:lncRNA from 1 species
UUAGCUAGGUUGACAUGGUACAAAGCCACAUUACCACGCUAAGUGUGGCUUUGAUUUUUAGAAACCGCCUCAUGCUAAGUCUAGGGAAUACAGUGGUUGAAUGGGGUGAGCGCUGACCUUUAGCUAUUCUGGAGGAACAUGUCACUUUCACUUAUUUUCUUUCAUGUUUUCCCACCCAGUGCUAUGGACUCUGAUCGCCCAACCAGAGCAAACCCAGAAGGACAACUCUCCAAGCCUUUCAAUCACUCCCACUAACCCGUAUUGUGGACACACUAUUGUGAGGCCUACUAAGGAUGUACUGCUGAUGACCUUUUGAAGGCCAGUGGACCUGCUCUGCAGACCCAGGCUCCUCUCCCAUGGAGCAUCCCAAGUCUGUCCUUAUGGGAAGAAGCAGGAGCCCUGUCUGGCUGUACCCCAAGCUGCUUUCUCUGGACCAAUGCUGUCAGCGAUAGAGCAAACAAGCCAAACAGCAGCUUGAAAAAUGCUUUCUACUUGGACAUACCCUCUUGCUACAGGGAACCCUUCCACCAUCAUGUGAAGAAGCCUGGUCUAGCCUGCUGGAGGAUGAGAGAUCACAUGGAAUGAGGCCACAAUCGUUCCAGCCAAAGCCCCAGUAAUAGAAUUAAGAUCAUCCAAGACCAUGGCAUCCCGCCUGAGAAGUUCAGAUGAGAAGGGCCACCUGAACAACCAACAGAAUCUUAAAAAGUAAAAAAUGAGUGUUGCCACUAUGCAUCUAUUAGAAUGGCAGAAAUCGAAGACACUGACAACAACAAAUGCUGGUGAGGAUGUGGAGCAACAGGAACUCUCACUCACUGAAGAUGGAAAUGCAAAAUAGUGCAGCUACUUUGGAAAACAGCUACUUUGGCUGUUUCUUACAACACUAAAUAUGCUAUUAUUAUAUGAUCCAGAAGUUUUGCUCCUUAGCACUUACCCAAAAAAGUUGAAAACUUAUGUACACACAAAAACCUGCACAUGGAUAUUCACAGCAGUUUUUGAUAUGGUUUGGCUCUGUGUCCCCACAGAAAUCUCAUCUUGUAUUUGUAUAAAUUUAUGGGGUACAAGAGUAAUUUUGUUAGCAUGCAUAGACAUGCAUAGACUGCAUAGCUCCCAUAAUUCCCACAUGUUGUGGGAGGGACCAGGUGGGAGGUGAUUGAAUCAUAGGGGCAGGUCUUUCCUGUCUUGUUCUUGUGAUAGUGAGUGGGUCUCACAAGAUCUGAUGGUUUUAAAUAACAGGAAUUUAUCUGCACAAGCUCUUUUAUUUUGCCUGCUGCCAUCCACAUAAGAUGUGACUUGCUCCUCCUUGCCUUCUGCCAUGAUUGUGAGGCCUCCCCAGCCAUGUGGAACUGUAAAUCCAAUUAAAUCUCUUUCUUUUGUAAAUUGCC